ensembl:lncRNA
CACCUUCUUUAAGGUAAAAACUGAAGUGUAGUUUUCCACCCGCUCCACCGGGCGGCGGAAUCAGGCUUUAGGUUCAGUUUUUGACGCAUUUAGAUGCUGCUUUACAACAUGACGCUUGAUAACAGUCACAACAACACGUGAGUGAUUUAAAUAUAAAUUAUGCAGAUGACAGCUCAGUUACAGACUCAUAAUGUCACUUAACAGCACACACUUCAGCCCAUAAACAAACAAAACAGACAAACGCUGUGAUAAAGUGCAGAACUGGAAGAUGUCACGCGACUCACCUAAUAAGGGAUGUUUGAACUGUUACACUCAGCCAACAGAAGCAUGUGGACAGACAUUGACUGUAAUGAAGGACAUCUGCUGAUGCACAGGCAGAAGCAUAACGCCUGCUGGACAUUGUGCUGGAGCUCGGGGAGGACACCAUGAUCCCCCACACCUUCUCACUCACACCAGACCAUUCACUCAUAUCACGGAGAUCUGGCUGGACUUGAACCAGCAACCUCUGAAACCAUGAGGCAGUGCUCUUACCACUGAGCCACAGAUCUCUUGUCUGAACAUGUGCAGGAACUUAUAUUUCACUAUUCUCCCUGUCAUUUUACAAUGAACCAAAAAAAAAAAAAAAAAACCUUGUUUUGACCCAAUGAGGUGGGAUUUGAACCCAAGACAUUGCCACAGUCCUGAUUGUGAAUAGCAACUGUUUAGCCAUUAGUGCCACAAUGGCAUUCACUCAUGGCCAAUUUGUUGUAUAUAAUGCAAUACAUGAGCUUUAACGUAAGCAAUUGUGAGGCUUUAACUCAGGACUCCAUGAGCCCAACACAACACUCUGCAUCCUGAGCCACUGACCCAGCUGAGUUAACUCUUGUUUUGGACGGGUUUUGUCGAGAGCUUUGGAUCAUGUGAUUAAAAUUUAAAUAAAUUAAUAAAAAAAUAUAAAAACUUGAACA